AUACAUGCAAGUCGAGCGGACUUGAGGGAGCUUGCUCCCGAUGGUCAGCGGCGGACGGGUGAGUAACACGUGGGCAACCUGCCUGUAAGACUGGGAUAACUCCGGGAAACCGGGGCUAAUACCGGAUAAUUCAUUCCCUCACAUGAGGGAAUGCUGAAAUGACGGUUUCGGCUGUCACUUACAGAUGGGCCCGCGGCGCAUUAGCUAGUUGGUGAGGUAACGGCUCACCAAGGCCACGAUGCGUAGCCGACCUGAGAGGGUGAUCGGCCACACUGGGACUGAGACACGGCCCAGACUCCUACGGGAGGCAGCAGUAGGGAAUCUUCCGCAAUGGACGAAAGUCUGACGGAGCAACGCCGCGUGAGCGAAGAAGGCCUUCGGGUCGUAAAGCUCUGUUGUCAGGGAAGAACAAGUAUCGGAGUAACUGCCGGUACCUUGACGGUACCUGACCAGAAAGCCACGGCUAACUACGUGCCAGCAGCCGCGGUAAUACGUAGGUGGCAAGCGUUGUCCGGAAUUAUUGGGCGUAAAGCGCGCGCAGGCGGUCCUUUAAGUCUGAUGUGAAAGCCCACGGCUCAACCGUGGAGGGUCAUUGGAAACUGGGGGACUUGAGUGCAGAAGAGGAGAGCGGAAUUCCACGUGUAGCGGUGAAAUGCGUAGAGAUGUGGAGGAACACCAGUGGCGAAGGCGGCUCUCUGGUCUGUAACUGACGCUGAGGCGCGAAAGCGUGGGGAGCGAACAGGAUUAGAUACCCUGGUAGUCCACGCCGUAAACGAUGAGUGCUAAGUGUUAGAGGGUUUCCGCCCUUUAGUGCUGCAGCAAACGCAUUAAGCACUCCGCCUGGGGAGUACGGCCGCAAGGCUGAAACUCAAAGGAAUUGACGGGGGCCCGCACAAGCGGUGGAGCAUGUGGUUUA
rnacentral:rRNA from 1 species